rnacentral:piRNA from 1 species
UUCUCUUUACACUGGGAAAGGCCAUAG